rnacentral:rRNA from 1 species
AGCUAGUUGGUGGGGUAAAGGCCUACCAAGGCGACGAUGGUUAGCUGGUCUGAGAGGAUGAUCAGCCACACUGGAACUGACACACGGUCCAGACUCCUACGGGAGGCAGCAGUGAGGAAUUUUGCGCAAUGGGGUAACCCCUGACGCAGCAACGCCGCGUGAGUGAUGAAGGCUUUUGGGUGUAAAACUCUGUCAAUGGGAAAGAAAUUACAAUAUAUUAAUAGUGUGUUGUAUUGACGGUACCCAUGAAGGAAGCACCGGCUAACUCCGUGCCAGCAGCCGCGGUAAUACGGGGGGUGCAAGCGUUAUUCGGAAUUAUUGGGCGUAAAGGGCGCGCAGGCUGUAUACUAGGUCAGAUGUGAAAGUUCAGGGCUUAACUCUGAAAGUGCAUUUGAAACCAUUAUACUUGAGUAUGGGAGAGGGAAGUGGAAUUCCAGGUGUAGAGGUGAAAUUCGUAGAUAUCUGGAGGAACACCGGUGGCGAAGGCGACUUCCUGGACCAAUACUGACGCUGAGGCGCGAAGGCGUGGGUAGCGAACAGGAUUAGAUACCCUGGUAGUCCACGCAGUAAACGUUGAUCACUAGGUGUAGCGGGUAUUGACCCCUGCUGUGCCGGAGCAAACGCAUUAAGUGAUCCGCCUGGGGAGUACGAUCGCAAGAUUAAAACUCAAGGGAAUUGACGGGGGCCCGCACAAGCGGUGGAGCAUGUGGUUUAAUUCGACGCAACGCGAAGAACCUUACCUGGAUUUGACAUCUUGGGAAUACCUUAGAAAUUUGGUAGUGCCUUUCGGGGAGCCCAAAGACAGGUGCUGCAUGGCUGUCGUCAGCUCGUGUCGUGAGAUGUUGGGUUAAGUCCCGCAACGAGCGCAACCCCUAUCUUUAGUUACCAUCAUUUAGUUGGGGACUCUAGAGAUACUGCCCCGGUUAACGGGGAGGAAGGUGGGGAUGACGUCAAGUCCUCAUGGCCUUCAUAUCCAGGGCUACACACGUGCUACAAUGGUAUGUACAAAGAGUUGCUAAGCCGCGAGGUCAAGCUAAUCUCAUAAAGCAUAUCUUAGUUCGGAUUGGAGUCUGCAACUCGACUCCAUGAAGUUGGAAUCGCUAGUAAUCGUAGAUCAGCAUGCUACGGUGAAUACGUUCCCGGGCCUUGUACACACCGCCCGUCACACCAUGAGAGUUGACUGUACCAGAAGUUGUUGAGGUAACCUUCGGGAGCCAGGCACCUAAGGUAUGGUUGAUAACUGGGGUGAAGUCGGAACAAGGUA